AACUCUAAAACAUGACCUUUCUAUUUGUGUGUUUGAAAAUCACUACUACUGUUACUAUUCCCUAAGCAAACACAAUCAACCCGUAUUAAAUGCAUUAGAUUAAACUUAACAAUGUCCAAGUGGGAAGAUACGAGGUUCGAAGGACGGCUCUCAAAAAACUACUACUGAAAGACUUCUUGCAAGAAGAGUGUGAGUUGAGAAACAUCGGGCUCUCUUAUUCACCGCCAGACCCGUGAAUUGUUAUUAAAUAUAUAGUAUAUUU